rnacentral:rRNA from 1 species
UACGUAGGGGGCAAGCGUUAUCCGGAUUUACUGGGUGUAAAGGGAGCGUAGGCGGCGGAGCAAGUCAGAAGUGAAAGCCCGGGGCUCAACCCCGGGACGGCUUUUGAAACUGCCCUGCUUGAUUUCAGGAGAGGUAAGCGGAAUUCCUAGUGUAGCGGUGAAAUGCGUAGAUAUUAGGAGGAACACCAGUGGCGAAGGCGGCUUACUGGACUGAUAAUGACGCUGAGGCUCGAAAGCGUGGGGAGCAAACAGG